rnacentral:lncRNA from 10 species
AGAUGAAACGGACAAAUUCUGGCCAGGCGUGGUGGCUCACCAGGUAUGUCUUUAUUAGAGCGAGAGAAUAGACUAAUACAUCCACCAACCCUAGGAAGUCAGUGGAAGGGUAUUUCCGUAUUUCAUAUGGAAGUCAUUUCCAUAUGAAAAUUUAGCCAGAGGAUUUCAUGCUGGUUGUCUGAAAGCCAGGAGCUUCUAAAAAACUUUCAGGGUAGCUGUCUAAGCAUGACCUCAUGUCAUCCUGUUGUGAGUACUAAAUUAGUUAAUUCAGGGGAGGCACUCAGAAAAGUGAAGAAAGGGAAAUCUUUCUUAUAUAAAUCUUAGAAAUCUCAUAGAAAUCUUAGGAAAGUGCCUGGCGUGCAGUAAACACGUGAUACAUUUCAGUUGUUAUUAUCUUCACAAUAAUUUUUUUGGGUCAGGCUUGUUAUUUUCCCUGUUUUACAGAUUAAGGGGCAGAGACUCAGAGAUGCGCAGUAAGUCGCCUGAGGGUUACGCAGCAAAUAAGCAGGGAAGCCAGAUGAGAACCUACAUGACAGAGUCACCCAUGUGUGAGACUCCAAAGCCUCAUUCAGGUGCACAGAGAGGCGGUUGUGAGGACGUUCACUGCUGCGUUGCCUUCAGUAGCUUAACAUCAGAAACAGCGCAGAUGUCCACCAACAGGGGCCACCCAGUAAACCCCAGCAUGCCCAGCCAAGGAGUGCUUUGUGCUGGUUACAAGAAAUGAGGUCACGCUAUACAUAGGACAUGGGAUCAUCUCCAAGACAUUCUGUUCAGUAAAAAGAACAUCUGAAAAAAAAGUUCCAUAACCCACAGAAAAUACUGCCAAAUAUUCCAAAAAAUCUAAGUCCAAGUGUGUGUGUAUGUGACCUCUGGAGGCUGAUCUGAAGCAAAUGUAGGUGAAUUAAACAAUAGGAUCUAUUUAUAGGACUCUUCUUUUCCUACUUUUCUUUAUUUUUGUUGGAUUUUGAAACAUGUUCAAAGAAAAAUUCAGAGUACAAUAAAGUACCAGUCGGGCAUGGUGGCUCACGCCUGUAAUCCCAGCACUUUGGGAGGCUGAGGUGGG